rnacentral:lncRNA from 1 species
AGGCAUUUCCAAGGAGACGCGGGCGCACUGCCCCUCCCUUGCUUCCUCCUCUUCCCUCCUUCCUCUCCUAGUUUCUUCCCUCCCUUCCCGCCCUACUCCUUCCCUCCCUUCCCACCCUACUCCUUUCGGCUGCUCUGGUGCCCACCCCCAGUGCCUCGAGGUCGAGGAGAGCUCCUCGGCCCCGCAGGACGGGGAGGAUUCUGUACAGAUGAGCAUAACUUAUGUAAACAGGUUACCCAGCUGGGAGAGAGGACAUCUGCUGGCUGGUGUGGCGUCCAGCACUGAUGUGUCUACCUUCUCUGAAGGUGACUGCAAGGAGCCUGACAAGUGCUGCUGGAGACACAAGCAGUGCACUGGGCACAUCAUCUACCCUUUCGCCUCUGACUGUGUCCGCCACAGCCUGCACCUACACUCUGUCAACCACUGCAACUGUAAUUCUAGCUUUGAAUUGGUGCUGCCAGCCCAGUCCCAGCUCUGCACACCUUGCUCUGCUCUAAGAGAAAUGGGGAGGAGGUCUGUUGGCCUGA